rnacentral:lncRNA from 10 species
GGAGAAGCAGGGAUGGAUACUUUCACAGGUCAGGGGAGGUCAGUUUCCUCUUAGUCCUCAAAGGUGCGGGCUGAUUAGCAGGUCAGCUGUCUGAGCAAGACAGUAUUGAACCCAAGCCACCACUGUGAAGGGCGCCCGGAGGAUCUUUCUGGCGCAGAACAGCUCCGGCAAGCGACAGCCAAUCCAAGAUCUUUGCUCACCCUCUGGCGCUCAAGAAGGGGAGAGAUGGCAAGUAGAUGAGCCUCAAGGAGAAAGGAGAGAAAGUCUGUGCUGAACAGAUCUCGCCCUUGGACCUCAGGCUUGCAUACUCUACUGUCCACUCAACACCUGCGACUGAAUGUGUAAUCUGCGUCUCAAAACCAGCCUGCCCCAAAUUGCCCGCUCCACCCCCAGCCACCUGCUCCUCCCCAUGCAAACUCGUCUCUGCUGAUGCAACGCCAUCCUUCCAGUUGCCCUGACCAAAAUCUCCAUCUUCCAAACCCCUGUCUUUCCCUUACAUCCCACAUCUGCUGUAAAAGCAACUCCUGCUGACUCACCCUUCAAAAAUCUAGCCAGAAUCCAACCGUUUCUCACCACCCCGCCACCAUCAGCCUUGUUCUCCCACCCUGGGCAACGGCAGCAGCCUCCUUCCUGGUCUCACCUGGUCUCCCUGCCUCCACCCUUCCACUCAAGUUUCAACUCAGCAGCUAGAAUGCUUGGUGAAAACAUAAAUCUGAGCAUGUCUCUUUCUCUGCCCUGUCACUCAGCAUAAAGGCCCAAGUUAUUAUAGUGGCCAACAGCCUGGGCCCCUUUCCUCCUCUGGCCUCCUCUUCAACCACCUCCCCCUGCUCCCCGGGGUUCCUCUUCCUCCUCCCAGUUUUUCCCUGACAUGCCCUGCCCUCAGAUGCCCACACGGCUCGCCCCUCACUUGUUUCAUUUUUCACUCAAAUGCCACUUCCCUGCAAGGCCUCAGCUGUCCCCCAUUUAGAGUUCUGCACCCCCUUUUCCCCACUCAUUUGUCUUCCAUGGCACUACUGCCAUGAGCACAUGAUGUACUUUGUUUGAUUUCUUUGUUUGAUUUCUUCUCCGUACCAGGGAUUUUUGUCUGUUUUCUUUGUUCCUGUAUCCCCCAGCACCUGGAACAAUGCUUGCCGUAUAGUAGGUGCCUAGUAAAUAUUUAUUCAAUCAAUCCAGCAAGCAGCAUAAGAAUCUCUGCAAUGGACAGCCCCAGAAGGUUGUGAAUCCUCCACUCCCACAGAGAUCAGAUGGUAGGAAGGAGAUCCACUUACUCAUUGCACAAGGACUCCUGGCUGCCUAGCAGGUGCCAGGCACUGUUCUAGGCACCAGGGAUACACCACGAACAAAUAGGACUAAACAAAGCAAAACAGAAGAAACCCUGCACAGGAGCUUACCUGACA